rnacentral:rRNA from 1 species
AGCGGUAAAAGCUCAAAUUUGAAAUCUGGUACUUUCAGUGCCCGAGUUGUAAUUUGUAGAAUUUGUCUUUGAUUAGGUCCUUGUCUAUGUUCCUUGGAACAGGACGUCAUAGAGGGUGAGAAUCCCGUUUGGCGAGGAUACCUUUUCUCUGUAAGACUUUUUCGAAGAGUCGAGUUGUUUGGGAAUGCAGCUCAAAGUGGGUGGUAAAUUCCAUCUAAAGCUAAAUAUUGGCGAGAGACCGAUAGCGAACAAGUACAGUGAUGGAAAGAUGAAAAGAACUUUGAAAAGAGAGUGAAAAAGUACGUGAAAUUGUUGAAAGGGAAGGGCAUUUGAUCAGACAUGGUGUUUUUUGCAUGCACUCGCCUCUCGUGGGCUUGGGCCUCUCAAAAAUUUCACUGGGCCAACAUCAAUUCUGGCAGUAGGAUAAAUCAUUAAGAAUGUAGCUACCUCGGUAGUGUUAUAGCUUAUUGGAAUACUGCUAGCUGGGAUUGAGGACUGCGCUUCGGCAAGGAUGUUGGCAUAAUGGUUAAAUGCCGCCCGUCUUGAACACACGAACC